CGUGGAGACAGGUGGUGCAUGGCUGUCGUCAGCUCGUGUCGUGAGAUGUUGGGUUAAGUCCCGCAACGGGCGCAACCCUCACCCCUAGUUGCCACCGGGUUAAGCCGAGCACUCAAGGGGAACUGCCAGCGUCAAGCUGGAGGAAGGCGGGGAUGACGUCAAGUCAUCAUGCCCCUUACGCCCUGGGCUACACACGUGCUACAAUGGCCAGUACAAAGGGACGCGAGACUGCGAAGUGGAGCUAAUCCCAAAAAGCUGGUCUAAGUUCAGAUUGCAGUCUGCAACUCGACUGUAUGAAGGAGGAAUCGCUAGUAAUCGCGUAUCAGCCCGGCGCGGUGAAUACGUUCCCGGGCCUUGUACACACCGCCCGUCACACCACGAAAGCUGUCUGUACUCGAAGUCGCUGAG
rnacentral:rRNA from 1 species